rnacentral:other from 1 species
UCCUAAAUUGCUAGUAAUUGCUUUACAACUCUUUUGACCGAACAAUUAAUCGUUGGGAACCCAUAUUUUAUCUUGGCAAACAAGCCCUGCAACAAGCCGAGGGAAGUUUAAAAAGAUAAAGAGGGUACCCACCUGCAAGGGAAGCGGGUUCAAAACGAGGUUAACUUGCUUACGGUAAGUUU